rnacentral:rRNA from 1 species
UACGUAGGGUGCAAGCGUUGUCCGGAAUUAUUGGGCGUAAAGAGCUCGUAGGCGGUUUGUCGCGUCUGCUGUGAAAACUGGAGGCUCAACCUCCAGCCUGCAGUGGGUACGGGCAGACUAGAGUGCGGUAGGGGAGAUUGGAAUUCCUGGUGUAGCGGUGAAAUGCGCAGAUAUCAGGAGGAACACCGGUGGCGAAGGCGGUGGUCUGGGCCGGCACUGACGCUGAGGAGCGAAAGCGUGGGUAGCAAACAGG